GAUAACUUAUGAUAUAUCCCCAGAAUAAUGAUAUUUCUACAUUUAUGAUGCAGAAUUUGAACCUCAAAUAUAUAGUCAAAUAUCUUGAUCCUUAAAGACAAAGAACGAUUUUCAUAUAAUCAUUGAGUCUUUGAUAAACUUGAAUUACUUGGCUGCAGAGUGAUUACAAGGGGCAUUUUGGUCAUAGUACAGGUUGUUGUUUUGUUCAUUUUAGGUUCCGUUUUAUCUAUCGAAUAGUGAGUGAUGGGUUAUUUGUUGAUUUACGGAUCAAGUUGUAAACGGGUUUGGUUCAAUUAAUUUCGGUCACACUAGAACUUGCAUUAUGUUUAAUUCUGGAUGUUUUGUUUAAUUUUCUUUAGCAGAAAAAAUCUGGAUUUCCAGAUUUUUUUAAUAUU